AUUGAACGCUGGCGGCAUGCCUUACACAUGCAAGUCGAACGGCAGCGCGGGAGCAAUCCUGGCGGCGAGUGGCGAACGGGUGAGUAAUAUAUCGGAACGUGCCCAUUAGUGGGGGAUAGCCCGGCGAAAGCCGGAUUAAUACCGCAUACGACCUGAGGGUGAAAGCGGGGGAUCGCAAGACCUCGCGCUAUUGGAGCGGCCGAUAUCAGAUUAGCUAGUUGGUGGGGUAAAGGCCUACCAAGGCAACGAUCUGUAGUUGGUCUGAGAGGACGACCAGCCACACUGGGACUGAGACACGGCCCAGACUCCUACGGGAGGCAGCAGUGGGGAAUUUUGGACAAUGGGCGCAAGCCUGAUCCAGCAAUGCCGCGUGCAGGAAGAAGGCCUCCGGGUUGUAAACUGCUUUUGUCAGGGAAGAAAUCCUUUGGGCUAAUACCUCGGAGGGAUGACGGUACCUGAAGAAUAAGCACCGGCUAACUACGUGCCAGCCGCCGCGGUAA
rnacentral:rRNA from 1 species